rnacentral:tRNA from 2 species
AGCCGCAUAGCUCAAUGGUAGAGCGCCUGGUUUCUCCCCAGGAGACGGUGGUUCGAUUCCAUCUGUGGCUA